AACGAACGCUGGCGGCAGGCUUAACACAUGCAAGUCGAGCGCCUCGCAAGGGGAGCGGCAGACGGGUGAGUAACGCGUGGGAACCUACCCUUUCCUACGGAAUAACACAGAGAAAUUUGUGCUAAUACCGUAUACGCCCUUCGGGGGAAAGAUUUAUCGGGGAAGGAUGGGCCCGCGUCGGAUUAGCUAGUUGGUGGGGUAAUGGCCCACCAAGGCGACGAUCCGUAGCUGGUCUGAGAGGAUGACCAGCCACAUUGGGACUGAGACACGGCCCAAACUCCUACGGGAGGCAGCAGUGGGGAAUAUUGGACAAUGGGCGCAAGCCUGAUCCAGCCAUGCCGCGUGAGUGAUGAAGGCCUUAGGGUUGUAAAGCUCUUUCACCCACGACGAUAAUGCCGGUAGUGGGAAAAGUAGCCCUGACUAACUUCGUGCCAGCCGCCGCAGUAAUAC
rnacentral:rRNA from 1 species